GGGCGGUUAGCUCAGCCGGUCAGAGCGCCUGCCUUACAAGCAGGAGGUCGCCUGUUCGAAUCAGGCACCGCCCACCA
rnacentral:tRNA from 1 species